ensembl:lncRNA
AAAAAAACAAAAAAGUUAAAAACUGUUUACUGUUAUAUAGGUCUUUACACUGUUCAUUUAGUUAGCUGAGGGGGACAGAGGCAGUAAUAUAAGCACCAUAGUUUCUAUAGAUUACUAAGCCUCCUGUAAAUGUCUGGGUUUAGACUAUUUUCUAAAGAUAUGACUAUGUUGAAUCUAGUAAACUUGUAGAGGGGAUGGAACUGCCUUUUCUCUUGUAGUUUUACAUACUUUUGACCAGCCGAGUUAGUGCUGGCUGCAGAUAAAGUUUUAAUUGUUGGUGNAAUCACGAUUAAAACGUUGUUUUUGAAUACGAUUACUUUUUAAACGUUGUAAGUAAUGAUUAAAAAGUAACAAAUUAAAGACCGUUAAAAUAACAAUAAUUUUAGUAGAAUUUAACAGUCACUUCCGCUAACGUUUAACAGACACAAGCUUUGUCCUCCGGAGGACGCAGUUGGUUACAGCUGGGCGAGGCCUGCAGGUAACUUAGGCUGUGUACCUUUAUCUCUCUCACGGCUGUCUUUUCAACCUCGACACUGAAGGAGAGCGGUUCACUCCUCGACAAUUCUGCUAAAACUUUGUGAAAUGUCUUUAAAUUUUUCGACAAAAAGUGUCAUUGCAGGUCUGCUGCAGUUCUUGGCUGUUGUUCAAGUGUUUGCUGAGGCCAAAACCUACACCAAGCAAAUCUGAAACUGUAGCAAUGCCCCGAACACUGUUGGUCAGCUGACAGAGCAGUCGGGGUAUUUGGUUCUGACCAUUCAGAACAUCAGUCCAUUAGAUGGGUUUGAUGCCUACAAAUGGGACAAAGGGGGAAAAACAACUCUUCUGAAGAAUUUUACUCUUGAUGAAGUUCUCCUGACCACUGCAACACCUGAUCUGACAGAUGAAGCACUGAACACAAGCAUCACUCAGACAGUUCCCACAACCUUCAUAAUACCUGAUCUGACAACUGAAACAACCAAUCAGACAGGGCCUCUUAUGACCAACACUGCUAAAGUAUUUACUGGACUAGGAGUUCUAGGAGUUCUAGUAGCUCUAACGGUCACUUUUUUCAGAAGGAGGUGUUGUGGCCCACCGCCGCACCAGCAGCAAGCCGGUUCCAUCGAGAUGCAGAAUUUCCUGCCAAAUCCAGGUAUGCAUUUAAACAGUUUUGAAUUUAUUGUCAGCAGUUGUGAACUGAUUUGGCUGUAAGCCGUAAUCCAGGUUUAGCUGCACCAGGCUUUUGAUCAAUAUUUACACCUGUUGCACCAUCUAAAACUGACUAGGCACAGAUAUACCUAGAAUAAGUGAUGCACAUUAACGCUGACCAAUUCUACCACAGUAAGAGAGGCCAUUCACAUUAUAUAUAUAUAUAUUGCUUAUUAAAACUGUGAGCAACUUACAUUCAUCUUCUUUACAGUAUCAGAUCAGCAGAUAGACAAGAUACCUAAAUUAUAUAUUACAAAUAUCCAAGUGAUCAUUAUUAAAUCUGAGUACAGAUGUUUGUAAAGUAUGCAUAUUUAACUUAAUUCAUACAGUUAUUCACUCUGGUUAUGUAAUUGAUGUAUUAUACUAUAUUGCCUUUAUUAUUACAGUAAAAUAAUUCAACAAAGUUUUGGUUAUUUCAAAACUCUUAAGACAAAUUAAACAUUGAUUAAAUUAUCAUUACAUUCAAGAAUAUAUACAAGUGACUCUUAAUUUAUGUGCAAACUGUCAUGUCAAAUAAAAAUCCAUAGAAUUUGUGUUGUCCA